AGUGAACGCUGGCGGUAGGCCUAACACAUGCAAGUCGAACGGCAGCACAGUAAGAGCUUGCUCUUACGGGUGGCGAGUGGCGGACGGGCGAGGAAUACAUCGGAAUCUACUUUUUCGUGGGGGAUAACGUAGGGAAACUUACGCUAAUACCGCAUACGACCUGCGGGUGAAAGCAGGGGAUCUUCGGACCUUGCGCGAUUGAAUGAGCCGAUGUCGGAUUAGCUAGUUGGCGGGGUAAAGGCCCACCAAGGCGACGAUCCGUAGCUGGUCUGAGAGGAUGAUCAGCCACACUGGAACUGAGACACGGUCCAGACUCCUACGGGAGGCAGCAGUGGGGAAUAUUGGACAAUGGGCGCAAGCCUGAUCCAGCCAUACCGCGUGGGUGAAGAAGGCCUUCGGGUUGUAAAGCCCUUUUGUUGGGAAAGAAAAGCAGCAGGUUAAUACCCCGCUGUUCUGACGGUACCCAAAGAAUAAGCACCGGCUAACUUCGUG
rnacentral:rRNA from 1 species